rnacentral:rRNA from 1 species
UAGGGAAUAUUGGACAAUGGGUGCAAGCCUGAUCCAGCCAUGCGGCGUGCAGGAAGAAGGCCUUAUGGGUUGUAAACUGCUUUUGCCAGGGGAUAAAAUACGGAUGCGUCCGGAAUUGAAGGUACCUGGUGAAUAAGCCACGGCUAACUACGUGCCAGCAGCCGCGGUAAUACGUAGGUGGCAAGCGUUGUCCGGAUUUAUUGGGUUUAAAGGGUGCGUAGGCGGUUCCUUAAGUCAGUGGUGAAAUACUUCAGCUCAACUGGAGAGGUGCCAUUGAUACUGGGGAACUUGAGUACUGAUGAGGUAGGCGGAAUGGACGGUGUAGCGGUGAAAUGCUUAGAUAUCGUCCAGAACACCGAUAGCGAAGGCAGCUUACUAAAGAGUAACUGACGCUGAGGCACGAAAGUGUGGGGAUCAAACAG